CUUGGUCAUUUAGAGGAAGUAAAAGUCGUAACAAGGUUUCCGUAGGUGAACCUGCGGAAGGAUCAUUAACGAAAUCGGACUUCGGUCUGGUGACGUCUCUCUUGCUGUGCGCCUUUUGGCUGCACGCUUGGGAAUCCACACACCUGUGCACACUCGGUUGGCGGGCUUCGGCCCGCCUCUCGCCUACACUUACUUUGUAUGUCUCGAAUGUCUAUUAUCUUAUGAUAAAAAAAUACAACUUUCAGCAACGGAUCUCUUGGCUCUCGCAUCGAUGAAGAACGCAGCGAAAUGCGAUACGUAAUGUGAAUUGCAGAAUUCAGUGAAUCAUCGAAUCUUUGAACGCACCUUGCACUCUUUGGUAUUCCGAAGAGUACGCCCGUUUGAGUGUCAUUGUAAUCUCACCUCUACAGCUUUGUUGUUGUGGAGAGUGGACUUGGGCCUUGUUGUGUAACAACGACUGGCUUGAAAUGGAUGAGUGUACCCUGCUGCUGCAGCGUCUUCAGUGUGAUAAGCAUCUUCACUGAUCAAAGUUCCUUUGGGACACGAAUGCAAAGUGGGCUCUGCGCUUCCAACCGUCUGUUAACAGACAAUACUUGACAAUUUGGCCUCAAAUCGGGUGGGACUACCCGCUGAACUUAAGCAUAUCAAUAAGCGGAGGA
rnacentral:rRNA from 1 species